CCCCGUGUGUGGGGGGCACAGCCCUGGUGUCACAAUGACAGUAUGGUCUGUGCUCAGCAGCCCUCUUCAGAGGGGGAGCCCCCACUGCCUCUGAAAGUCAGUGCCCGGAAUGGCUUUGAUUGGCCCUGGGGGCCUCAGGGAGGGCGCCUCCAGGGAGGGCGCCUCCAGGGACGGCCCCUGGGGAAGGGCAGCUCCCCACAGGAGCCUGGCUGCCGUCUCCAGGUCUCCUCCGACGUGGGAGUCAGUCUGGCCGCAGGCGCCAUCCCCACCUCGGGCGAGGGCACACUGUGGCGGCUCCCUUGUGAGUUGCAAGUUAACGUCCAAACGCAGGACCUUCUUUGCUGAACAGUCAGAAGUCUUCCACAGUGUCAGGAAGUGACAGUUUCCCGCUCAUCUUCCCCGCCCUCUCCCAGAGCCUGCGCUCCUCUCCUUAGCAGAGGGACCUGCAAGCCUGUCCUCCAAGGAGCACGCCCACGCCGCCACACGUGUCCCAGCGUGUCCCAGUGUGUCCCCAGCGUGUCCCAGCGUGUCCCGUGUCCCAGCAUGUCCCCAUGUGUUCCAGCAUGUCUCCAGCGUGUCCCAGCGUGUCCCCGCAUGUCCCAAUGUGUCCCCAGUGUGUCCCGGCAUGUCCCCAGCGUGCCUGUGUCUCUAAGUUUCUUAGCAUAGUGCAGUGCCCCCUGUGGGCUCUGUGUGACCUCCUGCCCUGAGCCACGUUUCCCCAGAUCCCAUCCUGUCACACCCGUGUGACCGCCUGUCUGCCGAGCACCCGGCAGUUGUCAGGGGAGCAGACGCAGCCUCCACUUGGGAAGCUCUCUCUGCAGUGGGGGGGCCACACAGCGGCCAGCGUCCUCCGGUGACCCCGUGUAGGCCUCACCCGCCCCAUCGUCCCAUCUGCACCUGGGAGGGGUCAGCCAGGCGGGCAGGUUGUGGGGCGUGGGGUGUGAGUGUGGCCCCUGAGCCGAUGUUAACGCAGGUGCCCCUCGAGUCUGACCCUGCGGCCCUGGGUCUCGAGCUGUCCAUCAAAAGCCCGUUCACGCCCUCUUACCAGUCCAGAUCUGCCACCCUGCAGAGCUUGGUGUGGACGGCGGUCUCCGUCCCCUGGCCGCGGCUGGGGGGUCUGCUGGCCGGGCAGGACCACCCGAGGCCACGCUUGUGGCCAGCACGAGGCUCCUCUCUGUGCAGGGCCUCUCCAGAAGGUUCGCCUGUCCCAAGAGAAGCAGGGAAGCCACAUCUCUCCAUCGCACGGCUGUGUGCUGGGGUGCAGGCCGCUAGGGACGUGCCCUGGCUCAAGGCAGGGAGCUUGCGGGUGGGAGAUGAUUUCGUGGUGCUUCUGAGAACCAAGGGUGCAGUCCCUGUGCCCCGCCCUGCGCCCCUGGGCCGUGGAUGUUGCUGCAGCCGGCCCCUGGGGUCGGCGUCUGCCCGCCCCUCGCUGGCCUGCUGUCUGCAGGCGGCAGGGCCUGCCUCCAUGGGGAGACGGCCCCCUCGGCCACCCUGGUUCUGACUCACCGCGGCUUGUCAGCUGCCCUGCAUCCGCCUGCUCUGAGGCCGUGCCUCUCGGAGGCGCCCCCGCAGGAAGUGCCCAUGCCAGGCCCUGCCCGUUGCAGGCUCCUUCACAGACUCGGGAGACGAGCCGCCGUUUGCCACGCGUGACAGGUCUUCUCCCUGGCCCCGCGUUUCUCUCCCCUGGUGAUGUUUUCUGACGAAUGGAAGUCCUUGCUCUCAAGCUGGCGGCCUUCACGAAACACCAACUGUCCUUCAAGGACAGGGGUCCCUGGGUGCAGAUCCUUCCCCGUGCCGAGGACGGCUGAUGCCCUGGCUCUUCGGCCUUUCCUGCCGCGCUCCGUGAGCACCCGAGGCGGGGUGGAGGCCCGUCUGCGUGCGCGUCGGCUCUUGGCGUCCCGCAGGGGCUUCCUGUCCCUGCGCCGGAGGGGGCCAUCUUCGUUUCCGGAGCUUUCCAUCCAGUCUCGACGCCCACGGAGCCCAUCUUGUUCUUGUCUCAAGAUCACCGGUGUCCACAGCCCUUCGCCUGGAUGCCCAGACAUGAAUAUUGUUGGAAUUUGUAUCUGGGUCAAAUGAAAACUGCGGUUGAAUUUAGGGACAGUGGAUGUCUUUAUUUAGAUUCCAACCCCUGUUUAUAAUGUCAUUACUUAGACCUUUGUUUCUUUCAAUGACAGAGUUUCCUGUGUCGAUG